rnacentral:RNase_P_RNA from 1 species
CGACUGCUGCUAGAAAUAGUAGAGGAAAGUCCAUGCUCGCACCAUCUGCGAUGAUGGUAGUGUUUGCGCUGAGGAAAUAAAUAACCUCAGGUAUGCAGAAGUGCAUAACGGCGAAGAGAAGUCUCCAGUAGAAUUAUCUUCCUAAGGUGCCACAGAGACGAGCUUAACGGCGACGUUAAGAUGAAACGCGGUAAACCCCACAAGCGAGAAACCCAAAUUUGGUAGGGGAAGUCCUAGAGAUGAAAUGAAAUCAAAGGGACCGGCAUAUGCCGAGAUAAAUUGUCGCUCUCGACAAAACAUGGCUUACAG